GAAAUGCGAUAAGUAGUGUGAAUUGCAGAAUUCAGUGAAUCAUCGAAUCUUUGAACGCACAUUGCGCCCUUUGGUAUUCCAAAGGGCAUGCCUGAUCGAGCGUCAUUUGUACCCUCAAGCUUUGCUUGGUGUUGGGCGUCUUGUCUCUAGCUUUGCUGGAGACUCGCCUUAAAGUAAUUGGCAGCCGGCCUACUGGUUUCGGAGCGCAGCACAAGUCGCACUCUCUAUCAGCAAAGGUCUAGCAUCCAUUAAGCCUUUUUUCAACUUUUGACCUCGGAUCAGGUAGGGAUACCCGCUGAACUUAAGC
rnacentral:misc_RNA from 1 species